rnacentral:rRNA from 1 species
AGAGUUUGAUCAUGGCUCAGAUUGAACGCUGGCGGCAUGCCUUUACACAUGCAAGUCGAACGGCAGCACGGGAGCAAUCCUGGUGGCGAGUGGCGAACGGGUGAGUAAUACAUCGGAACGUGCCCAGUAGUGGGGGAUAACCCGGCGAAAGCCGGACUAAUACCGCAUACGACCUACGGGUGAAAGCGGGGGAUCGCAAGACCUCGCGCUAUUGGAGCGGCCGAUGGCAGAUUAGCUUGUUGGUGGGGUAAAGGCCUACCAAGGCUACGAUCUGUAGCUGGUCUGAGAGGACGACCAGCCACACUGGGACUGAGACACGGCCCAGACUCCUACGGGAGGCAGCAGUGGGGAAUUUUGGACAAUGGGCGCAAGCCUGAUCCAGCCAUGCCGCGUGCGGGAAGAAGGCCUUCGGGUUGUAAACCGCUUUUGUCAGGGAAGAAAAGCUCCGACCUAAUACGACGGAGUCAUGACGGUACCUGAAGAAUAAGCACCGGCUAACUACGUGCCAGCAGCCGCGGUAAUACGUAGGGUGCAAGCGCUAAUCGGAAUUACUGGGCGUAAAGCGUGCGCAGGCGGCUUUGCAAGACAGAUGUGAAAUCCCCGGGCUUAACCUGGGAACUGCAUUUGUGACUGCAUGGCUGGAGUGCGGCAGAGGGGGAUGGAAUUCCGCGUGUAGCAGUGAAAUGCGUUCACACAGG